CUACGGGAGGCUCCAGUGAGGAAUAUUGCGCAAUGGGCGAAAGCCUGACGCAGCGACGCCGCGUGGAGGAUGAAGGUCUUCGGAUUGUAAACUCCUGUUAAGUGGGAAGAAAGACUCUUUCUUAAUAGGAAAGAGGGACGACGGUACCAUUAGAGAAAGCACCGGCUAACUUCGUGCCAGCAGCCGCGGUAAUACGAGGGGUGCAAGCGUUAUUCGGAUUCAUUGGGCGUAAAGGGUGUGUAGGCGGCAACCUAAGUCAACUGUCAAAUUCCCCGGCCUAACUGGGGACCGGCGGUAGAUACUGGGUUGCUAGAGGAAGGAAGAGAGAAGUGGAAUUCUCGGAGUAGCGGUAAAAUGCGUGGAUCUCGAGAGGAACACCAAUGGCGAAGGCAGCUUCUUGGUCCUUUCCUGACGCUGAGACACGAAAGCGUGGGGAGCAAACAGGAUUAGAUACCCCCGUAGUC
rnacentral:rRNA from 1 species